GAAGCCUUAGCUUAAUUAAAGUGCCUGGAUUGCAGUUAGGUGAUGUAGUUUAAAAAUUCUACAGGUUUU
rnacentral:tRNA from 1 species